CUGGCGUGGUCUCUCCAAGCAGGCACAGCAGCCACAGGCAGCGACAGCCAAAGCUGGGAGCGCAUGGUUGUUCCGUGCAGGAAAGGGGGCGGGGCUGUCCCUUGGCUUCCGCUCAACUCAUCCUUGGGUUUGAGGGAAGUGAGAGGCUCCCAGCCCCACUUCCAUCCUCUUCUCAGCAGAGCGAUAGCCCCGCACGGAGGAGGAGAAUCUGGUGAUCACCUCCUUCCCUCCCUGUUGAGUGCUGCGCACACGUCUGCUUCAAAUGCUGGCUCUCUCUCCGAACUGCUAGAAAAUCGCUUUGUUUACUCUGUUUUGCCUGCUGAUUCCUAACCCUGGACCAAGAAUGAAAGGCUCAGGCAACCUUUUCCUUGACUUUGGAAGAGACUGGCUUUAUUUGAGACUGGCCUCAUCAAUGCUUAGCCCCAUCUGGACAUAUUUCCAAUGCCAGGGCUUUGUGAUAGAAUGCAGAAUGAUCGGACCUGACAAAUUUCAGACUGAUGGAAUAAGGGCUCCCAUUUCCCAGGCAAUUUAAAAGGAACAAAUAAAGAAAGGCCAACAAGGUGGUGGGGCUGGAUGUACUUUCCCUGCUCCUCCAAAGGGCCUGGGGAAGAGACCCACCACCACCAUUGAAUCUGUUACAGACCUGGAGACAUUAUAAUCCUUAUGGAUGGACAACUAGAGUGUCUUCAGGGGAGUGGGAAGCACCAGGAAGCUUGGAGUGACCUGCAGACACAUACAUUUUCAAAAAAAUCUGGACUGCUUUGUGUUUUUUUGUGUUACUGUUUUAUAUAGGCUUUUAAAUAGAGAUAUAUUAUUUUUAUAUUUAAUAUUUUAAUUGUACAUUGUUUUAAUUAUAUUGUAAAGCGCUUUGGGAUUUUUAAAAUAAAAGUAAUGGUUACAAUAAAUA